rnacentral:tRNA from 1 species
GGGCCCGUAGCUUAGCCAGGUGGAGCGCCCGGCUGAUAACCGGGAGGUCCCGGGUUCGAAUCCCGGCGGGCCCACCA